UAAGCUGAGAACACUCAUUUAUGUAAGGAAUGUUCUGCUUUGAUCUGACCUUGAGAGCUGGACUUAGCCCAUGUAAAUUCAGAGCAGCCGACUCACACUGACUAUGUUCCUUCCGUCCGUCUGGUUCUUGACCCACAUUACCACCUUGUGAGACAAAUUCCAGUGUUCCUGAUGCGAGCUCUAUGUUUUGAGGACUUGCUUGGGACCUUACCCAGUGACUUCCCCAGAAGGGGCUUUUAUGAAACCUCAGAUCACAGACUCUGGGGGAAGCUGGCUGCCAUGACACAUGGGGCUGCCAUGACAGCCCCACAGAGACACCCCUGUGGCCAGGACUGAGGUCUCCUGACAGCAGACCUGUUGGUGAGCCUGGAAAUCUUGGAGGCCCAGCUGACGGUGUGCAGACAGUCUGAGAGAUCUUGUGCUAGAGCUACGAGGCAAAGCUACUCCUGGACUCCCAACUCACAGAAACUUGCUUGCUGUGGACCAGACACUGGGUUCCAGUUGAACUUAUCCAGUUCCUUCGAGGUUAUCAUCACUCGCUCUGCUCUGGUUUUCAUCGUCGCUAUCAAGGAGUUGGCUGCUCGUCUAACUGUUGAUUCCUUGGAGGUGCCUAGGACUUAAUUAUAACCAAAUGAUCAAACUUCCUCUGAUAAUCUCUUUGAUCUUGCCUUCCAGAAAUCAGACCUAAAAUUAA